UACGAAGGGUGCAAGCGUUACUCGGAAUUACUGGGCGUAAAGGGUGCGUAGGCGGGUCUUUUAAGUCAGGGGUGAAAUCCUGGAGCUCAACUCCAGAACUGCCUUUGAUACUGAAGAUCUUGAGUUCGGGAGAGGUGAGUGGAACUGCGAGUGUAGAGGUGAAAUUCGUAGAUAUUCGCAAGAACACCAGUGGCGAAGGCGGCUCACUGGCCCGAUACUGACGCUGAGGCACGAAAGCGUGGGGAGCAAACAGG
rnacentral:rRNA from 1 species